rnacentral:misc_RNA from 1 species
GGUAGGUUUAUCAUAAAGGUUUAUGCUUACUAGUUUCAGGUUGUGGAUUUAGUACCCACAUUGUCGAAAGACCAGUAAACAACCCAAACACCGUCUGCAGGAAAGUCAAAUAUGGCGGGGUAUUCCCCAGUCACGUGACUCUUUGCAAACGAGGCUGAGGGGAAUUCCAUCAAGAUUUGUUGAUUGAUUCUGAACUUUGGCACCACAGGCCCAGGGAGAUUUACCACUCCCCCCCAGUCACUGUAUCGCUUCUAAGUAAUACAUGGUAUGAAGUGAAUCAUCAUCAUGCCCAUAUAAGGAAGAAGUCCAUAUGAGGAGAAUACAGUCAGCACUGCUGGUGGUUUUGUCAGAUUUGAGAGGAUAGGAUAUUAUUGAGGUACAUGUACAGAGAACCACCAUGGCUUUAUUUUCUGCAAAUACUGUAUACAGCGUCCUGAUAACAGCUAUAGGGAUUGUUUUGGUGAGAAGUUUCCCAGAGUACUCAACCAUAAUUUUUAUGAUGACAAUGACUACAAUUAUCACAUUCCAGUAUUCCAAUAAAGAACGAGAAAAACAAAGUCAGCGCAAAAUCACAUUCCACAAACUGCAUACAUUGAACCAGACUUAUGUGGACCAAACAGACAGACUUCUGAAAUCAGAAUGGCCAGAGCGUGAUGGUGUUUCAACUGACGAUAUUGAAUUUCAAGAUUAUGAAGCAUCUAAAACAUUGGUUAAAUCCUCCAACUUAUUAGAGCCAUGUCAUCUGGUUGCCCUAGCACAAUUCCGGCCAACAGGUAAACCAUUAGUUGUUGGCCAUGUUAAGUUAACACGUAGAACAUCUAUGAAUAUGUCAUAUGGUAAACUGUUAAAAAUGCAUAGAAGUGGCAUUCCUUCUGGUGCAUUAGAAAUUACAGCAAAAACGCAUAAUUUAGAUUAUGGGACCUUGCAAGAAAUGAUCGCAAAUCCAGAUGAAGCUAACACAUACGAAGCAGAGGAGACAUUUACAUUAAGUGUUGCAGGCCUUGUUGUCUCCAAACCACUUAGGGGUCAAGGACUCGGGAAGGCCAUGUGUGCAUUUGCGUUAAAGACUGCGCGAAGUGCAAACAUCUCAACCCUUGUUGGAGGGUGCAAAAGAGAACUUGUACCAUUUUAUGAAAGUAUGGGUGCUAAAAAGCAACAGAAAACAUUGAGAGCAUUGUAUCAUGAAAUGAAGUUACCUAUUGAUGAUACAGUUGUUGAAAUGGCUGAUAAAAUUCUCUCAAAGUUUAAGCCUAGAUCAUAGAAAUGUUUUUAUCGAGACAAUAUUAUCAAAAAUUAUAAACUCUUUGGAAAGGAGAUACAGGGUGUCCCUAAAGUUGUACUGAGACAAACAUGAAAAGAUAACCAAAGCAAACCCGCAUUGGUUCACUUUAAGAAAUUACAGGGGGAUUCACAUUUGACUAUUUUGGCUGAAAAUCAGUUGUAAAGUGCCUGGAAUGGUGGAAAAACUGCAUGAUUUUGAAAGAUUUUUUUGGCCAGGGUUGAGUUUGCUCACACACAUUUUAUAAAGAAAGACACCCAAAGGCGAUUUAAU